AUUGAACGCUGGCGGCAUGCCUUACACAUGCAAGUCGAACGGCAGCACGGGGCAACCUGGUGGCGAGUGGCGAACGGGUGAGUAAUGCAUCGGAACGUACCUUUCAGUGGGGGAUAACGUAGCGAAAGUUACGCUAAUACCGCAUAUUCUGUGAGCAGGAAAGCAGGGGAUCGCAAGACCUUGCGCUGAUUGAGCGGCCGAUGUCAGAUUAGCUAGUUGGUGAGGUAAAGGCUCACCAAGGCGACGAUCUGUAGCGGGUCUAAGAGGAUGAUCCGCCACACUGGAACUGAGACACGGUCCAGACUCCUACGGGAGGCAGCAGUGGGGAAUUUUGGUCAAUGGGGGCAACCCUGAUCCAGCCAUGCCGCGUGAGUGAAGAAGGCCUUCGGGUUGUAAAGCUCUUUCGGCCGGGAAGAAAUCGCAUGGGCUAAUACCCUGUGUGGAUGACGGUACCGGAAUAAGAAGCACCGGCUAACUACGUGCCAGCCGCCGCAGUAAUAC
rnacentral:rRNA from 1 species